GCCAGGUGUGGUGGUGCAUGCCUGUAGUCCCAGCUACUGGGGAGGCUGAGACAGGAGGAUUGCUUGAGCCCAGGGGUUGGAGGCUGCAGUGAGCUGUGAUUGCACCAUUGCACCCCAGCCUGGGCGACAAAGUGAGACCCUGUCUCUU
rnacentral:SRP_RNA from 1 species